GCCUUAAUGGAGGUGGAAAAGGGAGAGUAGAGUUCAAUAUAACUAUCUGAGGCACGAUUAUUGCUAAUUGAAAACUUUUCCCAAUAUCCCGCCAUGACGACUUGAAAUAUAGUCGGCAUUGGCAAUUUUUGACAGCCCUUAUGGGGG